rnacentral:rRNA from 1 species
UACGAAGGGGGCUAGCGUUGCUCGGAAUCACUGGGCGUAAAGGGUGCGUAGGCGGGUCUUUAAGUCAGGGGUGAAAUCCUGGAGCUCAACUCCAGAACUGCCUUUGAUACUGAAGAUCUUGAGUUCGGGAGAGGUGAGUGGAACUGCGAGUGUAGAGGUGAAAUUCGUAGAUAUUCGCAAGAACACCGGUGGCGAAGGCGGGAUCCUGGGCCAGUACUGACGCUGAGGAGCGAAAGCGUGGGGAGCAAACAGG